rnacentral:lncRNA from 1 species
CCCCACGAAUCCUACCAUGUUACUUCCCUUGCUUAAAACCUUAGUAGCUUCUCAUAUUAUGUUGCCACCCUGUUGAUUUUCCUCAUAGCUCUUAACUCACAGGAAUUAACAGUACUUGCUCUGUCCCCACUGGCGUGUAAGCUCUUUGAGGGCAGAGACCUUCUGGUCAGUGCUGUAUCAUCACACCUAGAACAUGGCCCGGCACAAAACAGGUGCUCAACAAGCACUUGUUAAGUAAACAUCUCCUACAAUACUCCUAUGAUCAUGUGGUUUUACAAAACUUAAGAGUUUUAAAAUCCAUUACAACUCUUCAACUCUAAGAUGCAUUUUCCAUCCCCUACAUUUCUACCUUUUUCCAAUCAGGACAUAGCUUACAAAUGAUAUACUUAAUGUAGUAGGGUUUUUCCACUAUUUCUCCUCAAAGGGCAUUUAAUAAAAUGAAAGUAACUUUGCAAUUGAGAAAAUAUGAUAAAAAAAUACCUUUAGGUGCAAUCUUUCAAGAGCCUAGGCACGUAAAACAUCCUGUCUACUUAAUUCUCACAACCUCUGAUGAUAGGAAUUCACAUGGCUAAUAAUGGCAGUCAGAGUUCCAACACAGACCUAUCUAGUGCCAAAGCUACAUGCAAUCUUUUUACUACAUUCCACAGUUGCUCUGUCUUACCUCUGUGUAACAGACGGAAACAAAAUCGUAUAAAACCACAGAAUUCACCUACAGUAUGAGGCAAUCCAAUUAAAGGAAAAGUCAUUCUCAGAACAGCUUUUAUUUAGUUUCAGAUUUGCAAAGGGAGACGUGACAUCAAGUUUGGAAGAAAGCUGAAUUACUGGGACUAACAGAGUGAAAAGAAUAUGGACUUUCAAGGAAUGGGGAAUAGGAAGGCCAGAAAAAUUUCCUUACUCCUUCUUCAAAGAUGAUGAAAUACAAAAUGACCCCAAAUGAAGCGGAUAGAACAAUCAGUGUUACAAGGAGUGGACACUGCAGUUUCCAGCGUUCUGUGACCUGUAAUAGUGCGACAGACUGAAUGCAGAAGCACAUAAACGAAUCCAGCUCUGUGAUUAAGCCAAGACAUUAAAGAGAUCUUCAAAAUGAAAACCAAUGCCACUUCUCUAAUAGACUUUUUUGUUUUGGAAAAUUUGUUUUUCCACGAAAGUAUUAUUUCUGUUACCAUAUAAUGGGUUAUUCUUUUUAAAUAAAUUAAUAUUUUUUAAAUGUCUUAGCUUUAAUUUCAAAGGUGGUAAAUAUCAGUAUGUAUUACAUGUAUGUAUUAUCUCUAACCCACAUAAGAGCUCUCUGGGGUCCUCAAUAAUUCUUAAGAGGGUAAAGGAGUCUCGAGACCAAAACUUCAGGAACCCUAAUACAGCCAUUCCAAACCUAACAAGGAAAAUAGUUUUACUUCGAGUUUCAUGUUCAUGGUGAAGUCAAGAAGAGAACGUGGUAACCUGGUUUGAUGGAGGGAGAUGAUGAGUUCGGCGUCAGUCUUUCCCAAUACCUUGCAAAAUGUUCAUGAAUUCCUGCACCCCACCCUCUGCAUUCAUCACCUCGCCUGCGCUUCUUCCCAGCCUUCCUUAGGUCUCCCAGAGCAGUGUCCACAUCCCUUUCUUUUGCAUUUUAAGUCCUCUGGAUGACUGCCCCAUCCUAGGGGUCCCCUGACAGCUUUCCUUCUCUCACUAUCCUCCGGGGUCAACCUCGACUUCUCCCUUUCACCAGGGGCGGGGGUGGGAACAGGGAGCGAGGCAGCCGCUGGGCCACUUUUGCCUCCACCCUCCAGAGCCCUGGGCCCCGCUCUCAAACCCCAGGCGUUCCGGGGAGCUGCUGAGUUCCGCUCCGCCUCAAUGACCGAAGUCCUCCCCACCUCCGCUCACUCACGCCGGCGGCCCCCGCCGCGCUCAGCCCCACCGACAGC